rnacentral:lncRNA from 1 species
AUACAAAUAUAAAAAGUACAAUGAAGAUAAUCUUUUUCUCAUUUAUUUUAAUAGUAAUUCCUGAGUUUGUAACACAAGUGAAUGUCGCCCUGGAAGCCUUGAGCAAGAACUCAUUAAAUGUAUUUGAUGACAAUCAGUUUGUGGACAUCUCAAAGAAGAUCUAUGAUAUAAUUCAUGAUAUCAGAUGUUCAGUCAUGAUGAUUCGGAUGUGAAGCAAAGAGAAAAACGUCCUUCUGUUUAAAAUAAAGUUCCCAGCAGAAACUGAGAAGAUCAAGCAGAG